UACGGGGGGGAGCAAGCGUUGUUCGGAUUUACUGGGCGUAAAGGGCGCGUAGGCGGUCACUACAAGUCAGUUGUGAAAUCUCUGGGCUUAACUCAGAACGGUCAACUGAUACUGUUGGACUAGAGUGCAGAAGGGGCAACUGGAAUUCUCGGUGUAGCGGUGAAAUGCGUAGAUAUCGAGAGGAACACCUGCGGCGAAGGCGGGUUGCUGGGCUGACACUGACGCUGAGGCGCGAAAGCUAGGGGGAGCGAACGGGG
rnacentral:rRNA from 1 species